GUUGCAGGCUGCAACUCGCCUGCAUGAAGUCGGAAUUGCUAGUAAUCGCAGAUCAGCAUGCUGCGGUGAAUACGUUCCCGGGCCUUGUACACACCGCCCGUCACACCAUGGGAGUCGGUAACACCCGAAGUCGGUAGCCUAACCGUAAGGAGGGCGCCGCCGAAGGUGGGAUUGAUGACUGGGGUGAAGUCGUAACAAGGUAUC
rnacentral:rRNA from 1 species